AACAAACGCUGGCGGCGUGUCUUAAGCAUGCAAGUUGAGCGGCAAGGGCAGCAAUGCCCCUAGAGCGGCGGACUGGUGAGUAACGCGUGGGUGAUCUACCCAAGGCAUGGGGAUAGCCAUUAGAAAUAGUGGGUAAUACCGAAUACGCUUGUGCAGGUAAGCUGCAUAAGGAAAGGUGCUACGGCACCGGCCUAGAGAUGAGCCCGCGUCCCAUUAGCUAGUUGGUGAGGUAACGGCCCACCAAGGCGAUGAUGGGUAGCCGGCCUGAGAGGGUGUACGGCCACACUGGGACUGAGAUACGGCCCAGACUCCUACGGGAGGCAGCAGCUAAGAAUAUUCCGCAAUGGACGAAAGUCUGACGGAGCGACGCCGCGUGGAUGAAGAAGGCCGAAAGGUUGUAAAAUCCUUUUGCUGAGGAAGAAUAAGUGUGGGAGGGAAUGCCCGCAUGAUGACAUGAAUCGGCGAAUAAGCCCGGCAACUACGUG
rnacentral:rRNA from 1 species